rnacentral:rRNA from 1 species
UACGGGGGGGGGAAGCGUUGUUCGGAAUUACUGGGCGUAAAGGGCUCGUAGGCGGCCAACUAAGUCGGACGUGAAAUCCCUCAGCUUAACUGGGGAACUGCGUCCGAUACUGGAUGGCUUGGAUUUGGGAGAGGGAUGCGGAAUUCCAGGUGUAGCGGUGAAAUGCGUAGAUAUCUGGAGGAACACCGGUGGCGAAGGCGGCAUCCUGGACCAAUACUGACGCUGAGGAGCGAAAGCCAGGGGAGCAAACGGG